rnacentral:lncRNA from 1 species
AAGGACUCAAGAGUUCGGGGAAUUUGCAAUCUUCUUAGGCAGACGAGACAAAUCCACGGGAGCAAGGGGGAAUGCAAGGCGGCUGACACCAGGGACCAUGUUACUGAACCGCUCCAGAUACUUCGCAUAACCACCACCUAACACGUGUCAGAA